rnacentral:rRNA from 1 species
GGCUCAGGACGAACGCUGGCGGCGCGCUUAAUACAUGCAAGUCGAACGAGAAGCCAGAGCUUGCUCUGGUGGAAAGUGGCGAACGGGUGAGUAACACGUGAGAAACCUGCCCCAAAGAUUGGGAUAAGCCUUGGAAACGAGGUCUAAUACCAAAUACCUUCUUUUAACACAUGUUAAAAGAAGAAAUGCUCCGGCGCUUUGGGAUGGUCUCGCGAUCUAUCAGCUUGUUGGUGAGGUAACGGCUCACCAAGGCAUCGACGGAUAGCUGGUCUGAGAGGAUGUCCAGCCACAUUGGAACUGAGACACGGUCCAAACUCCUACGGGAGGCAGCAGUAGGGAAUCUUGCACAAUGAGGGAAACCUUGAUGCAGCGACGCCGCGUGCGGGACGAAGGCCCUAGGGUUGUAAACCGCUUUCAGUAGGGACGAAAGUGACGGUACCUACAGAAGAAGCCCCGGCCAACUAUGUG